rnacentral:misc_RNA from 1 species
UGCUUUAAAGCAUGAACAAUGUAACGAGCGUGUGCCGCGACAAUUUUACCAAUUCGCGCGACAUUGAUUUUCAAAGUGAUCGACGAAAUUAUCUGGCUCCACAGUUCACCGUUGCUUAUUCGAUUUAUCUAUCCUCGAGGCGAUUUAAAUAAGUCGGGGUAAACGUAUGCUAUGAAAAUUUGCGAAGCGCAUGCGACAAGAAAGGUGAAGUUAAAUGUAAAUUGUAAAGCGUAAUGUAUGUUGCAAAUAACUG